rnacentral:lncRNA from 1 species
AAGAAGUUGAUUCCCUAGCUCCUUAGAGUUUGGCUGGCAGGAAUUCACAAAGCCAGAACUUUCCAUGUCCCAGGAGUUUGGUGUGAAUGUAAAUAUUAUAUGCAUUAGGUAUAGGAGAUGAGACAGAGGCUCCCUUGGGGACUCAGAGUGUGCUACCCCUUCCCAGGGUAGGAUGGGAUCUUCCUGGAAAAUGACUGCAGGGGACUGGUGCAGAUGUGAACUUUGUACCCCGAUGGUGGUCCAGAGGAGCCGUGGGAGCUACCAUUCAUCCUUGCGGUAGAUGCAGGUAGGAAUUUGGUAAGAGAGUUUUGUCAUCCUGAUGAGCGAGCGAAGUGCUCUGGCACAUUUACCAAAUAGCUUGCUUUGGAGACAUUUUUCUCCCAGGAUGUCGGCAGAAAGAUACAGUUUCUCAAGGCAACUCGUCAGAAUCUGAAGGAAACUAGCCACACUUUCAGAUGUUACUGAGCUGAUGAGCAAGAAAAAGCAACAAUUGUCUUGAAACAAAGACAAAGAAUCUUUUUAGGUGGGGUAUUUAUUUUGAGGACUGACCAGUGUUCCUUUGGCUGGGUUAGUUGUUUGAGUAUUGUUGGGCCCUGGCCUCACCGUCGGGGCCAGAGGUUUACAGGAGGGAAAAUGAAAGUCCCCUGAGCUGCGGUUCUUGGGAAAUUUCAACCUGCGAGUCUGUCUUUGAGCGCAGUUAAACUUUCACUGAUUGAUUUUUCUCCUCCUGUGAUUUCUUUUCAAAGGCCACUGGGGUGUGUCUGCAGUCCUUGGAAAGGUGGCCAGGUUGUGGACUGUGAGCCACGUGAGAUUUCCCUUGGGCCAAGCUUGCUCAGCCAUUGGGUUUCAGGAUGCAAGUGAACAGAGUAGACUGAAUGAGACGAUGACUUUCCAGGGGGGUUCAUCACCAUGUGGACCCAUAUUUGUGGUUUUCCAAUGUCUCCUCCUCCUCUUCCUCCUCCUCCUCCUCCUCACAUCCUGUUCUCAGAUGAACUUGGGAGUGGCCUGUAGGUUGUGGGAGUCUGACUGGAGUGGAGAAGCCCACAUUGGCCCUCCUUUAUACUCCCGAUUAUGGAAAGAAUUUUGGAACUCGGGAUAAACUAACCCAGUAUGUAGAACCAUGAAGACUGUCUUCUGAAUUAAUUGAAUGUACUGGAUUUAGCCCCUAGGCAUCUAUACCAAAGAGAGUCUGCCCAGCCUACCCUCCAAAGACUGAUCCAGCCCCCUGCUGUGCCUGGUGGCGGGCCACCUUAAAACUCAGGGCAUCAGCUGAGACUCAGAGUGGCAUUGCUGUGGCCAGGGUUUGUAUAGAGAUGGCUGGAGAGGGCCAACAUGGUGCAAUUCUGGGGAUCUCCAAGGGGGAGAUCCUUAGUCAGAGGACACCUGCUACUUCAGGUGACCCUUAGUCAAAACACUCCUGUCACACCAGUGGAGGAAGACAGACAAGAAACAGAUCCUGAUCAGGGGACAGCUACUUACCACUCAAAAUAAUGUCGGUCAGUGAUACUAUUUGUCUUCGGAGUAAGCUUUUAUUUUUAAAAUUGCUUUUGCCCCUUUUAUUUAUUUUAAAUGCGGGGAGUUCUUAUUGCUCCACUUUCUAUAUUAGCCCACACCUCCAAAAGGCCAAGCAGAGAGACUUAGGGAUGUCCAGCCAUCCUCUAAGACUGUGAGUGUAGGUGUGAAAAAGCUGAAAUCAUGGAAAAGAGUGAAAUCGGUGCUCUGGGCAGGAAAACAAAACAACAACAGCAGCAGCAGCAACAACAACCACAACAACCAAACCCCAAAACAUGAGUUAUAUUCACUUGCUAGAGGAAGCAGGCAUAAACUACAGUACCGUCUUGCCGUUAGAUUUUGGCAUUUUCUAGUUAGAGCCUGGAAUCUGGAGUCUCUCUUUCCUUAUGAUGCAGAUGUGUGCACAGGUGUCUGGGAUUCAGUGUCAGACGGUGGUGGAGAGGAGUUACAAGCCGAGGUGGCCGUCAGGCUUGGGUAAGGUUAAAGGUUAGGACUUGUCACGUGAGGCAGGCAGAGUUAAAAAGGCCAAUGAUACAUUUUUUUUUUUUUUGAGGCUGCGUAUACUUUCUCUUUAGAUGACAGAGAAAUGCUAUCCCCCAGUGCUUCAGCUUUCUGAUACUGGGCUGGGUUUUUCCGUGAACCGCUCGCUCUUCCUACUGGGAUUUUUGGCCAGCAGGGUACUCAGUAGAAAUAUCUUCAAUUUAGAAUCUCCUUCUGUAUAUUAAAAAAAAAGAUAUUUACGUUUAAGUGAGUCUUUUAUAAUUACAUCUUAAGUGACUAUAAAUCAUACCAGGGCCGCAGCCUCCUCCCCAAUCCCUUUGGGCAGUAAGAAAAGCUGUGGCCAAUCUGUCCCUGGGCUGUAUAGCACCUGGACCUGACAAGGCUGGCUCUGAGCUGAAUGGACCCAAGAGCCUAUCAUAGUCCACGUGUGUCAACUGCUAAGCCUGCCCACUUAGAGAAAAGCCUGUUGGUGGGGAUUCUAGUCAGGCUAUGGCAUGCUGCUGCAUCCGAUGAGGACCCACUACCCUCUGUGGUACUUCAAGUGUCCCAAAACUUCGGUGGCCUGUCGUAGCUGUAGCGAGGCUGUGGUCUCCUGGAUGGUGAGCUGAGCAUAGCAGUAGUCACUUCUGACUGUGGUAACACUGUGUGUGUGUGUGUGUGUGUGUGUGUGUGUGUGUGUGUGUGUGUGUGUGUGUGUGUGAUGUCUUCUCUUAUGGCCCUGUGAUAAUCCAGGUUCUGCCUCUUCUUCCUUGUCUCAGUAGGACCCCCAACUAACCACUGGUAGGUUUUCAGUAGCUUCUCUGUAUUGUAGACUAGCAGAACAGGUCCCAUUUCACAAAGCAUAGGGACCCUUCUCCUCCCAGGGCCAGGCUCUUGGCAGCCAUGCCAAGCCAUUGCUGGCAUGGAUUCCCAGCGUUCUUGGUCGAGCGCAUGGCAUCGGAAUGCUACCUGCUUUGUCUCUGGUGUCAGCUGGCAAGCAGUCACGUGGCCGUAUACGUGAGGCCAGAGCUAGAGACCAGAGACUCCUCCCGGCUGUCCCCCCCACCCCCUGCUCACUCUACCCACCCUCUUCUCGGCCUUCAGUGUGACUGUCUGAGCAGGCAGAAAGCAGUAUGAAACAAGCAGGCUACCCAGGGCAGAUCGUGGUUUGCCUGCCCAUCCUUUACCGGAAUCGUUACAUACAGAGAGGCCCUUAGUGUGCCCCACAUGAUGAUGAGGAGUUAGACUCUUGCAUAGUGGUCCCUCCACACCAUCCUCUGUGGCAGAGCUGGACCGGUGGUGCCCAGGUAUCUGAGGAGAGAUGGCACAUCCCACUCAUGAGCUGUUUCCCAUACUCCAGACUCACAGAGUGCUCUCUGAUAUCACAUAAAGGGCACAGAGUGACACGAAGCCGAGCGGCCAGCCAAGCCAACGCAGCACAGGCGGGCAACCCGUAGGAGAUAAGUUUCAGCAAAAUCGCCCAAUCGGGUCCUUCGCUCCUCUGGCUGUUUCAGAGGGCUGGAACGUAGGAAUGUGUCCCCAAGGCAGUGACAAGGAAUGGCUUUGGUAACAUGGAAGGAUCUGGGAGGACAGAGGUGAUGUAGCUCAGUUCUACCUUGGCACCCAUUCUCCGUGUUCUUGGCUGCUCACUCACCCUGAGAUGCUCUUGGCUCUCCCAGGCAUUGGUACGGAGUACAGUGCUCAGCACCAGGCAGAUUGCUUUCUGCAUCCCAGUCAGCUACGACAAGUAGGAGAUGUAUCCCUUUUCGUUACAUAGACAAGAGAACAGAGGCUGUGAGCAGUCUUGUGAACACUAGCUAAAGUCAAACCCAUAACCGAGACUCCUGGCUGAGACGGAUCGGGAUGGGUCACCCUGAGCUGGUGGAGUGGGAGCUGCUCUGGUUCUCCCACAGGAGAACAGUGGAGGGCCGGCUACCUCCUGCUACUCUGUAGAACCCAGCUUAGGAACAAUGCGGCCUCUAUCUGGAGCAGUUUAGGCUGCCCGGACUCCAGGCCCCUCAGAAGGGCUUGGCUAGCCAGGCAGUCGCAACAUGGCGCCAGGGCCACCCUGCCCUUCUACAGAGCUGGCUGUUACCCGGGCUGAGGCUGGGCUGGUGCUCCAGGCAUCCUCAGGCUAGCUGCUGAGUGGUCAGGCACGGUGGCAUCCUCCCUCCCCUCCCCGCCGUCCAGCCCCCACCUUUUUUUUUUUGGUGGUGGGUUUGGGGGCCCGGCCCACCCGCCUCUGCCACGUCUGCCAUCCUCCAGGCACCCACGAGCAUCUUUCGAAAAUUCCCGGUGGGCGGGGCAGAGCUGUAGCGGCCGCCUCUGCCCCCCCCCCUUCCCUGGGAGCCAGUGCCAGAUUGAGAGAGAGCAGGAGACAAAAGUAGUAUUUUCUUCGUCCUCCUGGGCUGGCAGCAGGGUUUUCCCCCAGCGCCACUUACUCCUGGCAGCCCUAACCCUGGGUGCCAGAGCGGCCAAGGCCCAGGCCAGGACCUACGGACUGAUGGACGCCAGAACCCAGGAGGUCCAUGGGCCUGUCCGACAGAGGCUGGCACCUGGGCAUGGCCUGCUGGCUGGCAGGAGCCCCCUUACCUAGCCUGGGCAAGGGAGACAUCAUUUUCACUUGCUGGCUUUUGAGAAAGUGACCCUGUCCUCCUGUUCCUGGUAAGUGACCUUCUUGCCUUCUCCUGCUUGGGGAUGAGCUGAGGGCCCUGCCAUCUUGUGCUCCUCCGUGUGCCUGCUAUGUCUCCUUCCCUCUAAGUGGCUUAACCCAAACCCCAAAUUCUAUUUCAGAGACACCCCCACCCCACCCCCACCCCCAAUCCUGACUGAAGCAGGCACUGCCAAAAAAACUGCAGGAAAGGAGCAGAAGCCAAGCCAUUUAUUUUUAAGAUCCAAAGCUAGGGCUUUCGAAAUGAUAAUGAAAACACACGGUUCGGUAUUCACCAUGGCUGCGUGUUCUGUUAGGAGCUGAAUGAGGGCUGGAGCAGGCAUCCGUCGGCAAACCACCCUUCCAUGCCUUGUGUUGUUUUUUGUUGUUGAAGGGGGUCUUGUUAUUACACUGCUUUUUUUUUUUUUAAUUUUUUGGCAGUACUGGGAGUAGCAGAGAGGGAAACCCCAGAACCAUCAUAGGGUCCUCCAGCAAAGGACGCAGGCAGGGCCAGCCACACACAGGAGGGAGGACCUUCAUGUUCAGAAACAGAGGCUCUUUUAUUCUGUCCCGAAUCCCUAAUGCCACCGUUCCCACAGUUUAGGGAUUUGGUUCUUUCUGCCUUUCGUUUCAUUUCAUUU